GCCAGCGUGGUGGAACGGUAGACACGACGGAUUCAAAAUCCGUUGCCUUCGGGUGUGGGGGUUCAAAUCCCCCCGCUGGUACCA
rnacentral:tRNA from 1 species